rnacentral:rRNA from 1 species
UCGGGAAUUUUGGGCAAUGGGCGAAAGCCUGACCCAGCAACGCCGCGUGAAGGAUGAAGUAUUUCGGUAUGUAAACUUCGAAAGAAUAGGAAGAAUAAAUGACGGUACUAUUUAUAAGGUCCGGCUAACUACGUGCCAGCAGCCGCGGUAAUACGUAGGGACCAAGCGUUGUUCGGAUUUACUGGGCGUAAAGGGCGCGUAGGCGGCAAGUUCAAGGUCAUCUGUGAAAUCUCCGGGCUUAACUCGGAACGGUCAGAUGAUACUGCUUUGGCUAGAGUGCAGAAGGGGCAAUCGGAAUUCUUGGUGUAGCGGUGAAAUGGCGUAGAUAUCAAGAGGAACACCGUGAGGUGAAGACGGGUUGCUGGGCUGGACACUGACGCUGAGGCGCGAAAGCCAGGGGAGCAAA